CUACGGGAGGCAGCAGUGGGGAAUAUUGCACAAUGGACGAAAGUCUGAUGCAGCAACGCCGCGUGGAGGAUGACACAUUUCGGUGCGUAAACUCCUUUUAUAUAGGAAGAUAAUGACGGUACUAUAUGAAUAAGCACCGGCGAACUCCGUGCCAGCAGCCGCGGUAAUACGGAGGGUGCAAGCGUUACUCGGAAUCACUGGGCGUAAAGAGCGUGUAGGCGGGUUAAUAAGUUGGAAGUGAAAUCCUAUGGCUCAACCAUAGAACUGCUUCCAAAACUGUUAACCUAGAAUAUGGGAGAGGUAGAUGGAAUUUCUGGUGUAGGGGUAAUAUCCGUAGAGAUCAGAAGGAAUACCGAUUGCGAAGGCGAUCUACUGGAACAUUAUUGACGCUGAGACGCGAAAGCGUGGGGAGCAAACAGGAUUAGAUACCCCGGUAGUC
rnacentral:rRNA from 1 species